CCUACGGGUGGCAGCAGUGAGGAAUAUUGGUCAAUGGGAGAGAUCCUGAACCAGCCCAGCCGCGUGAGGGAAGACGGCCCUAUGGGUUGUAAACCUCUUUUGUCGGGGAGCAAAAGCCGGACGUGUCCGGCUGUGAGAGUACCCGAAGAAAAAGCAUCGGCUAACUCCGUGCCAGCAGCCGCGGUAAUACGGAGGAUGCGAGCGUUAUCCGGAUUUAUUGGGUUUAAAGGGUGCGCAGGCGGAUUGUUAAGUCAGCGGUCAAAUCGUGGGGCUCAACCCCAUCCAGCCGUUGAACCUGGGGAUCUAGUGUGUGCGAGAGGUAUGCGGAAUGUGUGGUGUAGCGGUGAAAUGCAUAGAUAUCACGCAGAACCCCGAUUGCGAAGGCAGCAUACCGGUGCACAACUGACGCUCAGGCACGAAAGCGUGGGUAUCGAACAGGAUUAGAUACCCGGGUAGUC
rnacentral:rRNA from 1 species